rnacentral:lncRNA from 1 species
ACCACCUAAUCUCAAUUCUAUUGGACAGAAGAUUAAUCCAGGGGUCAUCUUUGGGUCUUCUGGGUGGAACAUGUCAAAUAAAAUGAGCCACUACUUUCAAUGUUGGGUUGCCCAUUGGUUAUAGUUAAUUAUUAUUCAUCUGUAGACUUUCAUUCAGGACUCAGAGGCUGGUUCUGCUAACCUUGUUCCUUCAAAAGUCGGUGAUUUUUUUUUUCUACGAACCUACUACAAGGGCAACCUUAAUCAGCAUAAAUGGUUUCAUUUGCAUAUAAAAAUGAAACUAUAGAACUAGGCUUUGUGUAUGCACAUGGAUGUGUAUGAGAGAGAAAAGUUUCAAUUCAUCUAAAUAAACGAGUAAGAAAUGUAACGUGAUAUAAACGGAAGUCUCAAAAGGACAUUUCAUGUUAGUGUUUUGUUAGCCAAGAUCCCUAUGGGAAACAGGUGGUAUAUUCCAUAGUGGAAAACAACCUGAGCUUAAAAAGGGACUAAAAUCAAUACUCUCAUUUCAAUAGCAGAUCAAUGUAAAAAUUGUUCAUAUGUGUUUUCAAAAUCGUAAGCUUCCAAAAUCUGUUGUGUGGGACUAGCCACAUUUUUGGCACCCAACACUGGCUGCCUGUUGGCAUGCUGCUGCUGGUGUUUCGGCAGGUUUGGGAAGCUGGUGUGUUGAGAAGUUCACAAGGCAGGUAAGAGGUAAGCCCUUGCUGCCUUUUCCUUGGGGAGCAUUGCACAAGUAGGCCAGGUGCACUGCCACACCCCUGCUGUUCUCUCAUUACACACAGACAUGAAUGUUGUCCCUAGAAAAGCUGUUAAGUCCCAGCUGGGCAUUUUACUAGGACCCUAUGGCUUUGCCAAAAGUGACAACUGGGCCAUGUGAUGUGAGUUUCAUAAGAUUCCACCUGGGUUCAAAGAUAAUUCUUCAUGUUUGCAUUUUCCAAAAUGUAAAUUCGAGUGUCAAUCAAAGAUCCUCUUUAAAACUUUACAAAAAAAGUUUUAUGUGUGUCAGUAUUUUGUCUGCAGAUUGUAUCUGUGUAGCACAUGCAUGCAAUGCCCAAGGUCAGAAAAGGAGAUCAGAUCCUCUGAAGCUGAUGUGGCGUUGGAGGUGGGUUUUGGCCACUAUGUGGGUGCCACAAGUCUAAUCAGGGUCCUCUAGAAGAACAGCCAGUGCUAAUAACCACCGAGCCACCCCUCCAGCCACAGAUCUUCUUUCUAAGUAGAAAUGGCUGUGCCUGGUGGUGCACGCCUUUGAUCCCAGCACUGGGGAAACGGAAGCAGGUGGAUCUCUGAGUUUGAGGCCAGUCUGGUCUACAUAGUGAGUUCUAGGACAGCCAGAGCUAUGUAGAGAGACCUUAAAAAAAUAGAAAUUAUAUACAGUAUGUAUAUAUAUGUAUGAAAAUCUCAAAAAAUAAAAAUAAAAAGUUUAAGUUU